ACGGGUGAGUAACGCGUGGGAAUCUACCCAUCUCUACGGAAUAACGCAUGGAAACGUGUGCUAAUACCGUAUGCGUCCUUCGGGAGAAAGAUUUAUCGGAGAUGGAUGAGCCCGCGUUGGAUUAGCUAGUUGGUGGGGUAAAGGCCUACCAAGGCGACGAUCCAUAGCUGGUCUGAGAGGAUGAUCAGCCACACUGGGACUGAGACACGGCCCAGACUCCUACGGGAGGCAGCAGUGGGGAAUAUUGGACAAUGGGCGCAAGCCUGAUCCAGCCAUGCCGCGUGAGUGAUGAAGGCCCUAGGGUUGUAAAGCUCUUUCACCGGUGAAGAUAAUGACGGUAACCGGAGAAGAAGCCCCGGCUAACUUCGUGCCAGCAGCCGCGGUAAUACGAAGGGGGCUAGCGUUGUUCGGAUUUACUGGGCGUAAAGCGCACGUAGGCGGACUAUUAAGUCAGGGGUGAAAUCCCGGGGCUCAACCCCGGAACUGCCUUUGAUACUGGUAGUCUUGAGUUCGAGAGAGGUGAGUGGAAUUCCGAGUGUAGAGGUGAAAUUCGUAGA
rnacentral:rRNA from 1 species